GCGGGACACGUGGUAUCCUGUCUGAAUAUGGGGGGACCAUCCUCCAAGGCUAAAUACUCCUGACUGACCGAUAGUGAACCAGUACCGUGAGGGAAAGGCGAAAAGAACCCCGGCGAGGGGAGUGAAAAAGAACCUGAAACCGUGUACGUACAAGCAGUGGGAGCACGCUUAGGCGUGUGACUGCGUACCUUUUGUAUAAUGGGUCAGCGACUUAUAUUCUGUAGCAAGGUUAACCGAAUAGGGGAGCCGAAGGGAAACCGAGUCUUAACUGGGCGUUAAGUUGCAGGGUAUAGACCCGAAACCCGGUGAUCUAGCCAUGGGCAGGUUGAAGGUUGGGUAACACUAACUGGAGGACCGAACCGACUAAUGUUGAAAAAUUAGCGGAUGACUUGUGGCUGGGGGUGAAAGGCCAAUCAAACCGGGAGAUAGCUGGUUCUCCCCGAAAGCUAUUUAGGUAGCGCCUCGUGAAUUCAUCUCCGGGGGUAGAGCACUGUUUCGGCAAGGGGGUCAUCCCGACUUACCAACCCGAUGCAAACUGCGAAUACCGGAGAAUGUUAUCACGGGAGACACACGGCGGGUGCUAACGUCCGUCGUGAAGAGGGAAACAACCCAGACCGCCAGCUAAGGUCCCAAAGUCAUGGUUAAGUGGGAAACGAUGUGGGAAGGCCCAGACAGCCAGGAUGUUGGCUUAGAAGCAGCCAUCAUUUAAAGAAAGCGUAAUAGCUCACUGGUCGAGUCGGCCUGCGCGGAAGAUGUAACGGGGCUAAACCAUGCACCGAAGCUGCGGCAGCGACACUAUGUGUUGUUGGGUAGGGGAGCGUUCUGUAAGCCUGUGAAGGUGUGCUGUGAGGCAUGCUGGAGGUAUCAGAAGUGCGAAUGCUGACAUAAGUAACGAUAAAGCGGGUGAAAAGCCCGCUCGCCGGAAGACCAAGGGUUCCUGUCCAACGUUAAUCGGGGCAGGGUGAGUCGACCCCUAAGGCGAGGCCGAAAGGCGUAGUCGAUGGGAAACAGGUUAAUAUUCCUGUACUUGGUGUUACUGCGAAGGGGGGACGGAGAAGGCUAUGUUGGCCGGGCGACGGUUGUCCCGGUUUAAGCGUGUAGGCUGGUUUUCCAGGCAAAUCCGGAAAAUCAAGGCUGAGGCGUGAUGACGAGGCACUACGGUGCUGAAGCAACAAAUGCCCUGCUUCCAGGAAAAGCCUCUAAGCAUCAGGUAACAUCAAAUCGUACCCCAAACCGACACAGGUGGUCAGGUAGAGAAUACCAAGGCGCUUGAGAGAACUCGGGUGAAGGAACUAGGCAAAAUGGUGCCGUAACUUCGGGAGAAGGCACGCUGAUAUGUAGGUGAAGUCCCUCGCGGAUGGAGCUGAAAUCAGUCGAAGAUACCAGCUGGCUGCAACUGUUUAUUAAAAACACAGCACUGUGCAAACACGAAAGUGGACGUAUACGGUGUGACGCCUGCCCGGUGC
rnacentral:rRNA from 1 species